rnacentral:snoRNA from 2 species
UGGCGGUGAUGACUAUCUUAGGACACCUUUGGAAUGACCGUGAAAUAAUCUUUUUUUUUUCUGAGCCAU